AGGAUGGUGGUCAGCAGUCCUGAUUUAGAUGAGUUUGCGAAGUCAUUUCGCAGAAUAGGGAAGACUCUUUUGUUAGACAUCAGCCACAUCUUCUGUUUCCAUGCAGUAAUUUCUUUUAGCCACAGAGCAUGAAAAGCCGUCAAAUCUAUACACAAGUUUUAGAAACUGGAAGAAAAAUGCUGACUUGUCAGGUUGCCCGAAAGGCCAAAAUGUUGAAAAAGUUAAAAAUGGUUUUGAAAUGUGCGUAACGUAUCUGAGAUAGGUUUUGUGUGUGUGUGUGUGUGUGUGUGUGUGUGUGUGUGUGUCUGUGUGUGUGUGUGUUAGAGAUUCCUAAAGGUUCCAUUUGGUGAUUUGUGUGUGUUUAUGGAAAUGUGUGAUGAACAGUGUAUCUUUCCGUGCUGAGCAGAGGGGUCUGUAAAGGAAGAUUGACAGGUGCAGUGGUCUUUGGAAUCCUUAUCAUCUGUGAAGAUCUUUGAUGAAUCUGGUUUCUUUCUUUCUUUUUUUUUUUUUUUUUUUUUUUACAUUUUGUUCCUCACCCCACUGUAGAAAGGCAUCCCUUGUACCCUUGGAGGGAAGGUCAGUAGCUCAUACAGACUGUAUUUGAAUGUCUGUGACUGCUCUUUUUCUGUUUUUAAGCCCAGAGUAUCUUGGGGGGAAGCUUUGACACUGUUACUUCUAUUUAUGUGCAAACAUCUCAGGUUUUCCAAAACAAUCUCAAGCACCACUACUGGUCUGUGAGGAUAAGACAAAAAAAAGUAA